UACUCGCUACUAACACCACUUGCCCCUACAACCUGGACUCUGCCUGGACUCCCCAGAACCUCAGAACAACGUUGAGGAAGACUCAGCGUGUUGGUGGUACAGGUGUUGGUGGUACAGGUGUGCGCGUUGCAUCGCCGGCACGACAAGCC